CGGUCUGUACUUUCCAUGUUUUGCUAACUGUGGCAAAGCUCUCAG
rnacentral:SRP_RNA from 1 species